rnacentral:rRNA from 1 species
GUUGUACGGGUUUAGACCCGUAGCAAAUAGCUCCGUAACACGUGGUCAAACUACCCUCUGGACCGGAAUACCCUCGGGAAACUGAGGCUAAUUCCGGAUACUGCUUUCAUGUUGGAACACAGAAAGUCGGAAACGGUCCGCCGCCGGAGGACGUGACUGCGGCCGAUUAGGUAGACGGUGGGGUAACGGCCCACCGUGCCGAUAAUCGGUACGGGUUGUGAGAGCAAGAACCCGGAGACGGUAUCUGAGACAAGAUACCGGGCCCUACGGGGCGCAGCAGGCGCGAAACCUUUACACUGCACGCCAGUGCGAUAAGGGGACCCCGAGUGCGAGGGCAUACAGUCCUCGCUUUUCGUGACCGUAAGAAGGUCUCAGAAUAAGAGCUGGGCAAGACCGGUGCCAGCCGCCGCGGUAAUACCGGCAGCUCGAGUGAUAGCCACUAUUAUUGGGCCUAAAGCGUCCGUAGCCGGCCGAACAGGUCCGUCGGGAAAUCCACCCGCUCAACGGGUGGACGUCCGGCGGAAACCAGUCGGCUUGGGGCCGGGAGACCAGAGAGGUACGUCCGGGGUAGGAGUGAAAUCCCGUAAUCCUGGACGGACCGCCGGUAGCGAAAGCGUCUCUGGAGAACGGACCCGACGGUGAGGGACGAAAGCUUGGGUCUCGAACCGGAUUAGAUACCCGGGUAGUCCAAGCUGUAAACGAUGCUCGCUAGGUGUGGCGUUGGCUACGAGCCAGCGCUGUGCCGUAGGGAAGCCGAGAAGCGAGCCGCCUGGGAAGUACGUCCGCAAGGAUGAAACUUAAAGGAAUUGG